GAUGAACGCUAGCGGCAGGCCUAAUACAUGCAAGACGAACGGUAAGAUUUUUAGCAAUAGAGAUCCUAGAGUGUCGUAAGGGUGCGUAACACGUAUGCAAUCUGCCCUCAACAGGAGAAUAGCUCCCCGAAAGGGGAAUUAACACUCCGUAAGAUCACAUAAUGGCAUCAUUGAGUGAUUAAAACUGAGGUGGUUGAGGAUGAGCAUGCGCAUGAUUAGUUAGUUGGCGGGGUAACGGCCCACCAAGACGAUGAUCAUUAGGGGAACUGAGAGGUUGAUCCCCCACACUGGCACUGAGAUACGGGCCAGACUCCUACGGGAGGCAGCAGUAGGGAAUAUUGGACAAUGGGUGCGAGCCUGAUCCAGCCAUGCCGCGCGCAGGAAGACGGCCUUCUGGGUUGUAAACUGCUUUUGCCAGGGGAUAAAACGGCUCUGCGGAGCUAAUUGAAGGUACCUGGUGAAUAAGCCACGGCUAACUACGUGCCAGCCGCCGCUGUAAAAC
rnacentral:rRNA from 1 species